rnacentral:rRNA from 1 species
UACGUAGGGGGCAAGCGUUGUCCGGAAUCAUUGGGCGUAAAGCGCGUGUAGGCGGCUGGGUAAGUCCGCUCUGAAAGCCCGGGGCUCAACCCCGGGAGGCGGGUGGAUACUGCUCAGCUCGAGUCCGGAAGAGGAGUGUGGAAUUCCUGGUGUAGCGGUGAAAUGCGCAGAUAUCAGGAGGAACACCAAUGGCGAAGGCAGCACUCUGGGACGGUACUGACGCUGAGGUACGAAAGCUAGGGGAGCGAACAGG